GCAGAGUAGUUCCUGAUCAGGACGGUACAGACCCACAGGGAGGGGGUACUGGUCAGGUGUGAGUGGGAUGUUUGACGGGGUACUGGUCAGGUGUGCUCUGGUUGACGGGGUACUGGUCAGGUGUGCUCUGGUUGAAGGGGUACUGGUCAGUCGUGAGUGGGAUGGUUGACGGGGUACUGGUCAGGUGUGAGUGGGAUGGUUGACGGGG